UACAGAGGGGGGCAAGCGUUGUUCGGAAUUACUGGGCGUAAAGGGCGCGUAGGCGGCGCGGUAAGUCGGGUGUGAAAUCUCGGAGCUUAACUCCGAAACUGCAUUCGAUACUGCCGUGCUUGAGGACUGGAGAGGAGACUGGAAUUUACGGUGUAGCGGUGAAAUGCGUAGAUAUCGUAAGGAAGACCAGUGGCGAAGGCGGGUCUCUGGACAGUUCCUGACGCUGAGGCACGAAGGUCAGGGGAGCAAACGGG
rnacentral:rRNA from 1 species